GCCUGAUGGUUUUCAAAAAGGCCGCGAUGGCGUUGGCCCUCCUGUUCUGAGGCCGCCGCGCGCUCGGCGAUGCAGGGAAUCCUCACCCUUCUGCUGUAACAGAUUAGGAAAUGGAGUCUCAGGCCCGCGAGUGCCUCGGAUCGUGCAGCCCCGCGGGAGGUGGCGCUAGGAGGCGCGUCCACAACUGCCUCCUCCCUAAGAAAUGAUUCUGCCUAAAUCCGGCUUUGUGUCCGACCCAGCACUGAGCCAGAGGGUAUCGCUGUCAAGUAUAACGUAGACUCCGCUUUAUUGUGGGGCACUGGUAUUUUGGGGAUUCUUGGUGUCGUGAGGUUUCCUGGGUCACUCUUCAUAAUGGUUAGUUCUGGGCCUGGUCUGAACGAACUGUCCAGCCUGUGGUCCUAGUUUGGGGUUUUUGAAGGACCAGCCCAAGAUUCUGGGGCCCAGGGAGCUCCAAGAUUUGAGACCCUAAUGGUAGGUUACAACUAAAAUGAUUUUGUCCCUGACAUUCGUGUCCUGAUUCCUAGGAACCAAGCUCUUGUAAAGAGGAAUCCCACCUGUAAGAUCGCCAGUCUGAAUGACGAUCCCGGAGCAGGGCUGCAGAGCAGAGGAGGGCGAGGCAGAGAAAGAGCAGGCUGUAGAUUUGCAGGGCUAGUAGCAGUAUGUGAUCCUUGUGUUGUGCAAGCCACCCUUCAACCUUGACAACCUGAGGUCUGAGCCAGGUUUUAGGAGAGGUGAGUAAGGGCUAAGGCCAAAGGGCAAGCCUGCCAAGGAAAGGUCACUUCAUUUGCAGGUUUGAGAGAGGAUGGUCUGGGAGAAAGAAAUACCACCUACCACCAAGAAAAUUCUUUUUUUUGGGGGGGGGGUGGUGACGGCAUUUUUCUUUUAUUGAAGUAUAGUUGACAUACAUUAUAUUGGUUUCAGGCAUACAACAUAGUAAUUUGACAAUUAUGUACAGUACAAAAUUCUCACCACGGCAGGUGUAGUUACCCUCUGUGGGUGACACUGGUUUUCAACCCACCAAGAAAAUUCUGAGACCUAACAGACUUUGAUGUCUUUCAAAUGCUCCACCCUUUUCAGAUCCUGAGGGGCCCUUAUGCCACAUGCGGCAUUGACAGAUGUGUUGCAUCCUCUCCUCUGACUUCGCAGACUCAGAAGGUAGUGCAGGAAAGAACUUCUGGGUUACCUGUUUCUGCCUACAAUGAAAGAUGAAAAACACUGAGCCAGAGAGGGUAAAUGUCAGGGUCCUCCUGUUCAUGUGCGUUCUAACCAAUAGUCGGAUUUUCAGAUACAGUUAAGUCAAAACGGGCUUCCAUCAAAAGACAGAAACUACUGUUGAGGUAGUUAAGGACCAAAGGAUGUUCUCCUACAGGAGAACAUUUUAUCCAGCUAGUGAGUGGAGUUUUAUAGGUGAGAGAAUCCAGGGAGGUGCAAAGUAGGUCAGAUCUCUUGUGAUUAUUUUUUCUUUCUUCUCCCCUAGCUCCACCUUUGUAGUUCCCUACAUGUUUCCUAGUUCCGUAGAAAAUGAAUAGAUCUCAGAGCAUGCGCAAGUAGGGGAGGGAGAAAGAGGAUCCAAAGUAGGCUGGAAAGCGCGGGACUUGAUCCCAUGAACUGUGAGAUGGUGACCUGAGCUGAAAUCAAGAGUUUGAUGCCUGACCCACUGAGCCACCCAGUUUAUUUAUUUUUGACAGAGAGAGAGGCAGAGAAUGAACAAGGGAGAGGCAGAGAGAGAUGGAGACACAGACUCGGAAGCAGGCUCCAGGCUCUGAGUUGUCAGCACAGAGCCUGACGCGGGGCUCGAACUCACAAACUGCGAGAUCAUGACCUGAGCUGAAGUCAGAUGCUCAACCAACUGAGCCACCCAGGCGCCCCAAGACUUGAAUUUUCAAUUCAUGAACAUGACAUUUUUCUUCAUUUAGGCUCUCUUUUUCUCAGCACUGUUUGAUAAAUUCUAUAUAUACGUCUUGUACUUUUUUUUAUUAGAGUUAUCCUUAGUUGAAAAUUUUUCUCCUUAUUUGGGUGUUGCUGAUAUAUAGAAAUAUAGUGAAUUUUUGUAUAUUGAACUUUUUUUAGUGACCUUACUGUGAUGUCUCUCCCAAUAGGAUGGAGGUGAAAGAAUUCACCAGAGGCAGAACAAAGGAGAUAGAAGUUUAUCAAAUACACCCCAAGGGAGUAGAGGGCAGGACAGCAAAGCAGAGGUUGUCUGCAAUAAGGCAGUGGUGGGGGCUGUAUUUAAAGGGGAAAAGUGAGAAGGUAGGGGACAAAUGGAAUUUUCCCUUUCUUGGUAACUCUGCGUGGUUGUAACUAGCCCACUGAUUAGUUAAGGCCUAUGGAUAUUUUGAGGUGUGUCAUCUAAUGAGACUGUUUGUAUUCAGCCAGGGGAUUGGGGUCCCCCUGGGCCCUUUCUAUAUUCAUUGUUCAAGGCUGUUGCCUAAAUGUGGCCUCUACACUUACCAUUUAUUAACUCAUAUUUCAUCUGUAAAUUAUUUUGGAUUUUCUACCUACACAACUAUGUUGUAUGGACAUUUUUUACUUUUUCUUUUGUCUUUUUUUAAAAUUAAAAAAAAAAAUUUAGAGAGAGCUUGCAAGUGGGGGGAGAGGGGCCGAGGGAGAGAGAGAGACAGAAAGAGAGAAUCUUAAGCAGGCUCCAUGCUCGGCACAGAGCCCAAUGUGGGGCUCUCUCCCAUGUCCCUGAGAUCAUGACUAGGGCCAAAAUCAAGAGUUGAAUGCUCAACUAACUGAGCCACUUGGGUGCCCCCAUUUAAUAGAUUUUCGUUCAUUUAAAAAUUUAUAUUUUUUUAUUUUGUCUCUUUAUUGCUGUGGCUAGGAGCUAUAAAGUACUAUGGAAUAGAACUAGUCCAUCCUUGCUUGCUUUCCAGUCUCAAGGGAAAAUUUUUAAUAUUUUAUCACUUUGAUGUGUGCUGUAUGUUUUUUUGGUAGAUAUUCUUUGGAAAGUUUCCUUCUGCUCCUAGUUUGCUGAGCGUUUUUAUCAUCCAGUGGGUGUUGAUUACUGAGAUGAUUAUAUACGGUUUUCUCCUGUGUUCUUUUAAUGAUUGAUAUUAGCAUGUUGGUUGAGGUAAAUCUAUUAGUGCUUGAUUUUCAGAUGUUAAACCAGGAAAAAAAUCCCCCCUGGCCUUUUUAUUCUAUCACCUUUAAAUAUGUUUCAUGAUAAGUUGUCUACAGUUUUUGUCUUUGUCUUUGUUCAUGAGAGAGACUGUUAUUUUCCUUUCUUAUAAUGUCUUUGUCAGGUUUUAUGUCAAUUUUAUACUGGCCUCAAAAAACUUGUUACUGAUUUCCUCAUUACCUCAUCUCUGGAAGUGUUUGCGUAAGAUUGGUAUUACUUAUUUUUUAUUUAUAAAAUUAAGUGAAUUUAUCUAGGGUCUGGAUUUUCUUUAUGGAAAUUUGAAAAAAUGUUUAUUUUUAAGAGAGAGAGACAGAGUGCGAGCGGGAGAAGGGCAGAGAGAGAGAGAGGGAGUCACAGAAUCCGAAGCAGGCUCCAGGCUCAGAGCUGUCAGCACAGAGUUUGAUGGGGCUGGAACUCAUGAACCAUGAGAUCAUGAGCUGAGCUGAAGUCAGACACUUAACUGACUGAGCCACCCAGGCUCCCUUCUUUCUGGAAAAUUUUAAAGUAUAGAUUUAACUUCUUUAUAUUAAGGAAAUCUUGCUUUAGAACACGAUAAAAGUUGUGGUUGUUUCUUCCCAGUUUGUCACUUGUCAUCCCCAAGUGGGAAUAGGUGCUUUUUGUUCCAGCGAAAAGCAUGGCUCACACACACCAGUUCAGUUAACCAGAGUCCCACAAAGGGUUACUCACAGUUUGCUUUGCUUUCCAGCUCUUUCUCCCUGGACUGAUCUUCUGGGAGGGAGCCAACAAUGGUUGUUAAUUUAGCAUCCUGCUAUGAACUAAAAACCUUAAAACCCUAUCUUCUCCCUUCGUUUUUUUUUAGUCAAAUUCAGCAGUGCCCUCCAUUGCUGAAUCCAGUGGUAAAAGGCUUCUUCUUACGUGCUCUUUUAGUCACUUUUGACACCACUGGCUACUUUUUCCUUCUGAUUCACUUGAUUCACUUGGCUUUCACACUCUGUUAAUAUUCCUUCUCUCUCAUUUGCUCGUUCCUCCUUUUCUUCCUACCUCUGAAUGUUGGUGUGCCCUAGAGCUCAGUCCUUGGUCCUGGUCCUUCCUCUGUCUGAGCACCCCCUCUCCUUGACGGUCUCGUCUGUUCUCAUCUGCUGAUAAUCUCUGGCCUGCAGAUCUCUUCCUGCACUUGAGAUGCAUGUAUCUAACUGCUCUCUGUCUCCACUUGAAUGUUUUAUAGACUCAAGGUCAGUGUAACUAAAAUUGACUUCCUGGGCUUCCCCUCCCAAACCAGCCCCCUCUGGUGCCUUCUCCUUGUUUAAUAGCAGACUCUUUGGAAUCAUCCUUGACCUUUAAAAAAAUUUUUUUUUAAUUUUUCUUGUGCUCCAUAUCUUCUUUGUCAGCACAACCACUGGGUCCUGUAUCUAACAUGUAUCGAAAGUGUGACCUCUUCUGAUCUUCUCUGCUGCAGCUACCCUCACCAGGCCAGAAUAAUUGAUCUGCUGUUGUCUAGAUUAUAGAAAUAGUUACAGAGCAGGUCUUGCUGCUUCUCAAUCCUGGCCCCUCUGCACAGCAUCCACAGUGCUCUUUGUAGAAUAUGAGUCAGGUUCUUUUAGGUCGCUCCUCUGUUCAGCAUCUACAUUUUUCUGAGUAAAAGCCCAAGUUCUUAUAGUGGCUUAUGUGGCUCAUUUUUGAUCCAUUUUGAUCUCACUUCCUUAGCCCCUUGAUCACUGUGCUCCAGCCCUGCUUGCUUUCUUGCUGUUCUGGAAACAUACCAUGCGCAAUGCCACCUUCAUCCUUGUACCAAAUGUACCUUCCAAAUGUGCUUUACCCAGGGAGCCUGGUGGUGCACUCCCAUUCCUCCUUAGGGCUUGGCUCAAAGGUCACUGCUCAGUGAGGUCUAGGCAAACUCCCAGCUUAAAAUUGCUACGCUAACCCCCAGUGUUCGCAUCGCCUAAUUUUGGUCUACUUUGUUUUUUGUUUUUGUUUUUAAUUAAAAAAACACUUUUUUUUUUUAACAUUUAUUUAUUAUUGGGAGACAGAGAGACACAGACUGUGAGCAGGGGAGGGGUAUAGAGAGGGGAAGACACAGAAUCUGAGGUAGGCUCCAGGCUCUGAGCUGUCAGCACAGAGCUCUACGUGGGUCUCGAACUCACAAACUGUGAGAUCAUGACCUGAGGGGAAGUCAGUCGUUUAACAAACUGAGCCACCCAGGUGCCCUGGUCUACUUUGUAUUUUUAACAUAGCACUUUUCAUCUAACCUACUCUACGGUUUCUUUAUUAUUAUAUAGUUUACCCUCUGUUUUCCCCUUUCUGAAUCAAUGUAACCCCCCCCCCCCCACCAACCCCUGAAGGCUAGAGGAGGUGAAUUUUGUUUUUCACUGUUGUAUCCCAAGUACCUAGGACAGCGGCACAUAGUGUUGAAAAUCAUUAAAUGGGGUGAGCAACCUGUGUGGCUCAGUUGGUUCAAGUGUCCAAUUUUUGUUUUCAGCUCAGGUCAUGAUCUCACAGUUUGUGAGUUCAAGCCCCAUGCAGAGCUUUGCACUGACAGCAUGGAGCCUGCUUGGGAUUCUCUGUCUCCACCCCUCCCCGCCCCACACUCUUCCUUGCUUGUGCUCCUAUGCUCUCUCUCAAAAUAAAUACAUAAACAUUAAACAAAACAAGAAGUGCCCACUUUGUUCUUUUCUAGGAAAUUAGUAAUUUGGAUGUUGGUUACUUUUCUUUGACCUAGUUUUUAAUUUGGAGACCAUCUCAUGAGUUAAUGACUUUUUGGUAGAGAUUAUAUUUUUCAUUUCGGUUUUAUAUGUCAUAAUCAGACAAAGUAGGUUAUAAAACCUCUUUUAUAGAAUUUAUAGAAUUUAAUAAUAUUUUCUCUGAAACCACAGUAUAACAGAACAAUUAUAAGCGGAUCUUUAUCGUCAGAUGACCCGAUUCCAGUUAAGGAUGACCUUAGAAAGUCGAUAACUUUUUUCUGUCUCAGUGUUCCUAUCUGUUAAUUGGGGGGAAAUAAUACCUAUGUUAUAGGUUUGCCCUGAAUAUGAAAUAAUUUAUAUUUAAAAUAUUCUGUGAAAGGUACUCUUCCAAGUAAGUGCCUGUUAAAUUUUAGCUGUCAUUUAUUACCUGACACAAGGGUUAAAUAAACUCCACUUGAUACUUGUCCUUUUUUUUUUUUUUUAAAUUUUUUAAAUGUUUAUUUAAUUUUGAGACAGAGAGAGACACAGCAUGAGCACGGAAGGGGCAGAGAGAGAGGGAGACACAGAAUGUGAAGCAGGCUCCAGGCUCUGAGCUGUCAGCACAGAGCCCGACACGGGGCUCGAACUCACGAACUGUGAGAUCGUGACCUGAGCUGGUCGGACGCUUAACUGACUGAGCCACCCAGGCGCCCUGAUACUUGUCCUUUCUUAUUGAUAGAGAUAUAUUGUCUCUCACUGUAAUUGUGGUUUGUUUUCUUUAACCAAAUUAUUCUGUAAUUAUGGCAAUUUUUAAAAACCUGUUUGGAUGCAUGUAGAUUUAACUUAAAUGUUGAUUAAUUUUUGUCAUUUAUCAUCAUUACAUGAUGUCUGUCUUUGCCCUACUGAAAGUAAAGGCUGUAAAUUGUAGUUAAUCUGAUAUAAAUAAAGCCAUGCUUGCCUCCCUUUUAUUUGCAUUUUUUGGUAACAUUUUGUUCAUUCCUUCAUUUUUCACCAUUCCUUAUCACUUUCAGAUUUAUUUUUUUAUAAACAACAAAUGUCAGCAUUUUGGUUUUUUUGAUCACCAUGUCAGUCCGUCUUGGAUAAGAAAUAUAUCCAUUCACAUUUUCUGCAAUAAUCCAUAUAUUUGGUUUUAUAUAUCCAUCUUAGUUUGCUAAAUAUUAUAUUUUAGCAUAACACAAAUAUAUACCACAAUUUUAUGCUACUAAUUGUACAUUUUCAGAAACUUUACUUUUUCUGGCUUGUUCAAACUUCUUAGUGUUUAAUUUUUCUUCUUUGUUAAUCUGGUAGACUUCUGAUUCUUAAUUCUCACAGUUACCAACUUACUGCUGAAUAUUAUAACUGAGCGCAUAUCUACUGACACAUCAGGAUUAAGCUUCAUGGCUCUUCUGCUGCUCCGUGGUGUAGCAACUGCUACCCUUCCUCCUCCAGCCCCUCUUAGACGAUCUUAGAAAGCUUUGGUCUCCUGCACCCCAUACCCAGACUCCUUCAUUUUGCUAACUUAUCAGUGUAUCAUUGGUCCUUCCUUACGGAGAGUCUCUUCUGUUUCAACAGGUCUUUAACAUUACGUGGUACAUUUCACAUCACGUUAAUAUUAUCCAUCUAGUUGUAGCUGUGUAUCACCAACAAGAUCUGUUGUUUCCCACUCCUUCCCCUCCUCUUCACCUUCCCCUUGCUUGAGACUUGUUUGGCAUCUUAUUUGUACCUCCUCAGCAUUUUCUCUGCAGAGAUCCCGUAGGUGAUUUAUUCUUUGAGGCCCUGCCCGUUUGAACAUAUCCGAUUUGGGGCCUGUCAUAUGAAAAGCAAUUUAUUUGUGUAUAGCAUUUCUGCAUUGAAAUUCUUUCUCAUAAUCUAAUUGUGUUUUUGCUUUCACCACUGCAGAGGAGAAAUCUAAAGUUAGGAUAUAUCUCUUUACUUUGUGAGUCAGUGUUCUUUCAUCUGGAAGCUUAUAAGAGUUUAUCUUUGUCAUUCAGUGUUAUAUAAAUGUAUGCCUCGGUGCAUCUUUUUUAUUCUAGGUUGGUGGGCCUUCCAUCUAUCCUUCCUUCCUUCCUUCCUUCUUUCCUUCCUUCCUUCCUUCCUUCCUUCCUUCCUUCCUUCCUUCCUUCGGAUGUGUGUGCCCCGUGGGAACAUGAGCAGGGGGAGGGGCAGAGGGAAAGAGAGAGAGAAUCUUAAGCAGGCUCCACAGACGGCUCAAUCUCAGGACCCUGGGAUCAGGACCUGAGCCAAAAUCAAGAGUCAGAUGCUUAACCAUUUAACCAACUGAGCCACCCAGGUGUGCCUGGCUGUAUCUGCUUUCAAAGCUUUAGAUAUUUCACUCCAUUCUUCUUGCUUGCAUGGAUUCUGAGAAGUCUAUUGUAAUUCUUAUCAUUGUUCCUUUGUAGGUAAGGUGCACCCCCCUCCCCCCAGCCUUCCCCCACCUCCCACUUCUUUGCUUCUUUCAGGAUUUUCCCCUUUGUCUUUGAUUUUCUGCAGUUUAAAUAUGAUGUGACUAGAUGUGGUUUUCUUGGUAUUUUUCCCACUUGGUAUUGUCUGAACUUCCUGAAUCUGUCAUUAAUUUUGGAAUUUUUUGGUCAUUGUUACUUCAGAUACUGCCUCUGUUCUGCUUCUGGCACUCUACUUAUGCAUAUAUUAUACCUUUUGAUGUUGACCCACAGUUCUUGGAUGUGCUAUUUUUUUCAUCCUCUUUCUGUUCACAUUUCAGUUUGUGUAGUUUUUAUUGACCUAUUUUUAAGUUCACUGGUUUUUUCCUUGUGAUGUGCCCAUCAAAGGCAUUCCUCAAUUCUAUUACUGUGGCUUUGAAUUCUAGCAUUUCCUUUUUUUUUCUUGGAAUUUCUAUUUCUCUGCUUAUAUUACUCGUUUGUUCUUGAAUAUUGUCUAAUUUUUUCAUUCAACUCUCUAACAUAUUAAUCAUAGUUAUUUUAAACUCCCUGUGUCGUACUUCCAACAUCUGUGUUGUAUCUGAGUCUGGUUCUGAUGACUACUUUGUCUCUUCUGUGUGCUUUUUUUCUUGCUUUUUGAUAUGCUUUGCAACUUUUUUUGAACGCUGGACAUGUAUCCUGUAACAGAACUGAGAUAAAUGGGUUUAUAAUGUGAGGAUUUAUGUUAAUUUGGCUAGGAGAUGGGCAAUGUUUAAUGUUUUUUAAACAGCUGUAGGUACCAGAGUCUUCAAAUGUCUUUACUGUCCUUUUUUUUUUUUUUUUUUUAAUUUUUAUUUAUUUAUUUUGAGAAAGAGCUUGCCCUGGAGCACACGUGCAUACGAACAUACAUGGGCAGGGAAGGCCAGAGACAGAGGGAGAGAGAGUAUCCCAAGCUGACAGCGAGGAGCCAUCAUGGGGCUUGAUCUCAUAAGAUCAUAGCCUGAGUCAAAAUCAAGAGUCCGAUGCUUAACCAACUAAGCCACCCAGGCACCCCUAAGUGCCCUUGUUUUUGAUUCCCCUCUUGACUUUGGCCUUCUCUGUCUUGAAACUGUAUAGCUUUUUCAUCUGUUAUCUGUUGUUACUGCCCUGGAGCCUGUUGAUGUGGUGGGAAGUUGUAGAGAGGGAAGCAUUUUGUAAUCUUAUGAUUAACUUUCAGUCUUGUAUUGGGCCAGGGUCCUGGUAUUCUUAUAAGCUGGAACACUGUUACUAUUUCAUUGUAUUUAUUUUAUGUUUAAAUGUGUUCUGUUUUUUUGAGGUAUAAUUGACAAAUACAAUUGUAAGAUAUUUAAAGUGGAGGGGCACCUGGUUGGAAGAGCGUGAAACUCUUGAUCUCAAGGAUUAUGAGUUCAAGCCCCAUGUUGGGUGUAGAGAUUACCGAAAAAUAGAAACUUUAACAACAACAAAAAAUGUGAUUCGAUGUACAUGUACAUUGUGAAAGUAUUCCCCCAUCUAGUUAAUUGUUUGUUACAUCUGUUCCCUCACAUACUUAUUUGGUUUUACUUUCUGGUGAAAACAUUUAAGUUUUCCUCUCUUAGCAAAUUUCAAUUACAUGGGAUAGUGUUACCAGCUAUAGUUACCAUGUUGUACAUUAGAUCCUCACUUCAUUCAUCUUACAGCUGAAGAUUUGUAACCUUUUACCAAACUCUCCCUGUUUCCACUACCGGCCAGCCCCUGGCAGUCACUUUUCUACCUUUUGUUCUGGAGUUUGACUUUUUUAAGAUUCCACGUAUACAUGAUGCUGGGCUAUAUUUAUUUGUCUUUCUCUGUCUGACUUACUUCAUCCAGCAUGAUAAUGAUUUCAGAAUCUAUCCAUGUUGUCCCAAAUAGGAAGAGUUCCUUCUUUCUCAUGGCUGAAUCAUAGUCCUUAGUGUAUGUAUGUAUACCCCACAUCUUUGUCCGUUCAUCUGUUGAUGGACAACUUAGGUUGUUUCUGUAUCUUGGCCAUUGUGGGUAAUGCUGCAGUGGAUAUGGGAGUAUAGGUAUCUCUACAAUAUCCUGUGUUCUUUCCCUUUGGAUAUGUACCCAGAAGUGGGAUUGCUGGAUCAUAUUUUUAAUUUUUAAAAAAGUUUUUUUAAUGUUUAUUUUUGAGAGAGAGACAGAGCACGAGUGAUGGAGGGGCAGAGGAAGGGAGACAAAGAAUCUGAGGCAGGUUCCCGGCUCCAAGCUGUCUGCACAAAACCUGACGCGGGACUCAAACUCACAAGCCGUGAGAUCAUGACCUGAGCCGAAGUUGGAGGCUUAACUGACCGAGUCACCCAGGCGCUCCCAUAUUUUUAAUUUUUUGAGCAUCUUCCAUGCUGUUUU